UAAAGAAAGCGUAAUAGCUCACUGGUCGAGUCGGCCUGCGCGGAAGAUGUAACGGGGCUAAACCAUGCACCGAAGCUGCGGCAGCGACACUAUGUGUUGUUGGGUAGGGGAGCGUUCUGUAAGCCUGCGAAGGUGUGCUGUGAGGCAUGCUGGAGGUAUCAGAAGUGCGAAUGCUGACAUAAGUAACGAUAAAGCGGGUGAAAAGCCCGCUCGCCGGAAGACCAAGGGUUCCUGUCCAACGUUAAUCGGGGCAGGGUGAGUCGACCCCUAAGG
rnacentral:rRNA from 1 species